AGAAGUCCAGGGCUAGGAGCCUCAGCCGGCGGACGCCAGGAAACAGCCAAGAACUGAACCAAAAUACAAACAACAUAAACUACCACUUGAUGAGAAGAACUUCAAAGUCAAAUUGCAAAAGGUGACUAAAAAAGGGGAGUACUUUCAGCCGUUUUCAAAAUAAUCUAUGAUAUGUACUGGAAAACUUCUAAUAAUCCUUGUCAUUUUACAAGAAAGUAUUUUAUCAGAAGAAUUCGUAGAAGUAGAAUCUGUUUGUCUUCAGUUAAACAAAAGAAGAACCUCAUUGCUUUCCAACUGGGCCCCGGCCAUUUUCCAGUUGAAACAUCAAAUAUUUUAUUUGUGUCUUUCACUGCCAAUUAAAGGGCAACAGAAAUGGUACAGAAAUAUCUGAAUGAAAUGCUCAUGAAAGGAUUAAGAAAGUCUGCAGUUGAGCCUGGAGCCAGCAAAAGACAUCAUCACUAAAAGUAUAUGCAUGACCCGCAUUUGUUGCCUUUAUGGUCCUUACCCAAGAUAUUUGAAUUCACCAGAAUGGUCUUAAUAUGGUAUUGUAAGUACCUGGAUCUGAAAACCAUUAAGUAUGAGAGUGCGCUGUAUUGGUGAUGCCAGUUUGUGGACUCCUUAUGUAAAUAAAUGAAGGACAAGUUAAAAA
rnacentral:lncRNA from 1 species